GAUGAACGCUGGCGGCGUGCCUAAUACAUGCAAGUCGAGCGAAUGGAUUAAGAGCUUGCUCUUAUGAAGUUAGCGGCGGACGGGUGGGUAACACGUGGGUAACCUGCCCAUAAGACUGGGAUAACUCCGGGAAACCGGGGCUAAUACCGGAUAACAUUUUGAACCGCAUGGUUAGAAAUUGAAAGGCGGCUUCGGCCGUCACUUAUGGAUGGACCCGCGUCGCAUUAGCUAGUUGGUGAGGUAACGGCUCACCAAGGCAACGAUGCGUAGCCGACCUGAGAGGGUGAUCGGCCACACUGGGACUGAGACACGGCCCAGACUCCUACGGGAGGCAGCAGUAGGGAAUCUUCCGCAAUGGACGAAAGUCUGACGGAGCAACGCCGCGUGAGUGAUGAAGGCUUUCGGGUCGUAAAACUCUGUUGUUAGGGAAGAACAAGUGCUAGUUGAAUAAGCUGGCACCUUGACGGUACCUAACCAGAAAGCCACGGCUAACUACGUGCCAGCCGCCGCCGUAA
rnacentral:rRNA from 1 species